UAAUUCUUUUUUCCUAAUUUUCUCAUAAAUUUUUUCAUCAAAUAUUAUCUGUUGUUUCUCAUUAUCUAUGUCUUGUGUAUAGUUUAUUAUUAUAUCUUUAUCAUUUGUUUCUCCUAUUUCAGUCUGAUUCAUCUUCUUCUGCACUUGAUAUAUCUGAUUCAAUUAUUUCAUCUUCACUAGAAAAGUUGUCGGUAUCUAUUUCUUGCUUAACUGUAUCUAUAUCUAUAAAUUCAUCAUUAUCUAACUGGAUUUCUUUUAUUUGUUUUUGUCUAGGUUCUUUGCAUUCUGUGGAUAUGUCCUAUUUUUCCACAAUUAUAAUAUUUACAUUUUUAGGAUUCUUUUUGAAGUAAUUUCUAUAUUUUUUUUAUUUAUAUAUCUUCGUUUUUUGUUAUUUGUAAAAUUUCUUCUAAUGUAUUUCUUAUUUCUUUUCUUAUAGUGCUUUCUUAUUUGUUUAGGAUAUUUUUUACUACAUCCAUAUUUACUUGGUUUAUAUUUU
rnacentral:lncRNA from 1 species